rnacentral:rRNA from 1 species
GUGAGGAAUAUUGCGCAAUGGAGGCAACUCUGACGCAGCCAUGCCGCGUGCAGGAAGAAGGCGCUACGCGUUGUAAACUGCUUUUAACCGGGAAGAAACCCCAGGACGUGUCCUGGGUUGACGGUACCGGAGGAAUAAGCACCGGCUAACUUCGUGCCAGCAGCCGCGGUAAUACGAAGGGUGCAAGCGUUAUCCGGAUUCAUUGGGUUUAAAGGGUGCGUAGGCGGAGCGUUAAGUCAGUGGUGAAAUCCUGCAGCUUAACUGUAGACUUGCCAGUGAUACUGGCGCUCUUGAGUGCGCUUGAAGUGGGCGGAAUGUGCCGUGUAGCGGUGAAAUGCUUAGAUAUGGCACAGAACACCAAUUGCGAAGGCAGCUCACUAAGGCGAUACUGACGCUGAGGCACGAAAGCGUGGGGAUCGAACAGGAUUAGAAACCCUAGUAGUCC